AACGCACAUUGCGCCCUUUGGUAUUCCGAAGGGCAUGCCUGUUCGAGCGUCAUUAUCACCCCUCAAGCCCUCGGCUUGGUGUUGGACGGUUUGGUGGAGGCCCCCUUUGCGGGCCUUUACCCCUCCCAAAGACAAUGACGGCGGCCUCGUUGGACCCCCGGUACACUGAGUUCUUCACGGGACACGUAUCGGACUACGGGUUUACGGGACACGGUCUGCCUCCCCUCAGGGAGAAUCUUUUUUAUCAAGGUUGACCUCGGAUCAGGUAGGGAUACCCGCUGAACUUAA
rnacentral:misc_RNA from 1 species